UGGGGAAUAUUGCGCAAUGGGCGAAAGCCUGACGCAGCAACGCCGCGUGAGGGAUGAAGUACGUCGAGAUGUAAACCUCUUUCAGCGGGGACGAAGCGAAAGUGACGGUACCCGCAGAAGAAGCACCGGCUAACUACGUGCCAGCAGCCGCGGUAAUACGUAGGGUGCAAGCGUUGUCCGGAUUUAUUGGGCGUAAAGGGCUCGUAGGCGGUCUGUCACGUCGGAUGUGAAAACUCGGAGCUCAACUCCGGGCCUGCAUUCGAUACGGGCAGACUAGAGUUCGGUAGGGGAGACUGGAACUCCUGGUGUAGCGGUGGAAUGCGCAGAUAUCAGGAAGAACACCGAUGGCGAAGGCAGGUCUCUGGGCCGAUACUGACGCUGAGGAGCGAAAGCGUGGGGAGCGAACA
rnacentral:rRNA from 1 species